CUCAAACCCCUGGCCUCCAGUGAUCCGCUGGCCUCAGCCUCCCAAAGUGCUGGGAUUACAGGUGUGAGCCAAUGUGCCUGGCCUCAUUGGAAUUUUUGAAGAGGCAAAGGGUUAACACCACUUGUUAGGAAAAAGACCGUAUCGUGUGAUGCCUUGCCAGGUUGAGGGUCCCAGGUUUAAAGGCUAUUACCAUGGCCUCACCUGUGAGAAAAUAAAAAAUUCAAGGAGAGCACUCCACCCCCAGG
rnacentral:lncRNA from 1 species